AUUGAACGCUGGCGGCAGGCCUAAUACAUGCAAGUCGAGCGAGCGGCGGACGGGUGAGUAAUGUAUGGGGACUGCCCGAUAGAGGGGGAUAACUACUGGAAACCGUGGCUAAUACCGCAUACUAUCGGAUAACCCAUAUGGGAUUAGCUAGUAGGUGGGGUAAAGGCUGACCUAGGCGAAGAGCUCUAGCUGGCCUGAGAGGAUGAGCAGCCACACUGGGACUGAGAAACGGCCCAGACUCCGACGGAGGCAGCAGUGGGGAAUAUGGGGCAAUGGGCGAAAGCCUGAUGCAGCAAUGCAGCGUGUAUGAAGAAGGUCUUAGGGUUGUAAAGUUCUGUCAGCGGGGAGGCGUUACCUGAAGAAGAAGCACCGGCUAACUCCGUGCCAGCAGCCGCGGUAAUUC
rnacentral:rRNA from 1 species